GAUGAACGCUAGCUACAGGCUUAACACAUGCAAGUCGCGGGGCAGCAUGGGGGUUGCUUGCAACCCCUGAUGGCGACCGGCGCACGGGUGAGUAACGCAUAUCCAACCUGCCCUUCACCACGGGAUAACCCGGCGAAAGUCAGACCAAUACCGUAUGUUGUCCAUUGACGGCAGCCGGUUUGGAUGAAGCGGUUGGGGGUGGAAGGGUGGGGAAGCGGCCGAUUAGCUUGACGGUGGGGUAACGGCUCAUCGUGGCGUCGAUCGGUAGGGGUUGUGAGAGGAAGGUGCCCCACAGUGGAACCGGGCCACGGUCCAGACUGCUACGGGAGGCAGCAGUGAGGGAUACUGAUCAAUGGGAGUAAGCCUGAACCAGCCAAGUAGCGUGCAGGAGGACGGCCCUAGGGGUUGUAAACUGCUUUUAUGCGGGGAUAAAGUGGCCCGCGGGUGGGCUUUUGCAGGUACCGGAUGAAUAAGGACCGGCUAAUUACGUG
rnacentral:rRNA from 1 species